GGGCCCGUAGCUCAGGUGGAUAGAGCGACGGAUUCCUAAUCCGUAGGCCGCGCGUUCGAGUCGCGCCGGGCCCA
rnacentral:tRNA from 1 species